CUUGCCUGGAGAAUCCCAGGGACAGGGGAGUCUGGUGGGCUGCCAUCUCUGGGGUGGCACAGAGUCAGACAUAACUGAAGCGACUUAGCAGCAGCAGCAGCAGCAGUGCCUUCCAGCCACCUUUUUUUGCUUAAAAUGGAUUCAUCCUCAACAAAAUGAGGCAGUGCAUGGAGCUGUUGAAAUUCAUAACUUUGACCUGGGAAGAUGCCUCCUUAUCAUUCUCUCUUGGUCCCCGGCAUCCAGCGGAGGAGAUGGACGAACGGAAGAGCACAGGAGUAAUUCGCUCUCGGAAUACUAAUACCAAGAUGAUAACUGAAAUAUGAGUUGCACACAUCAUUUGGGGGAUCUUUGAUUAAGCAUGAAGAAAACUUCCUUCUUGCUCUCCUGCCUCCAUGGUGUGAACCCUCGGCUACCUUCACCCACUCUCGCUGCUCAGCAUACCUGUGGGCACAUCUCACCUACUUCAGGAUUCAUGCUUCUGUGUGGCCUGUGUGCUCUGAGAUAUCUACUUCUUUUCCAGGUUCCCCAGGGAGUUCACAUGCAGAAGCUGUCUCUGGCUUCUGUGGUCACUUGAGAUAUGGUCAUCCAGGGAAAGAGGAGAGAACCAGAGAGAAGAGGCUUGGAGAAGAGGGUGCAUCCUCUGUUUACAUGGAUGGAGGAGGGGAGCAAAGCCAGAGAGGCUGAAGAAGAACCAGGAGAAAGGUCUCAGAAGCUAAGGAAAGGGUUUCAAGAACAACAGGGAGAUCAUCAACGCCAAGUGCUGCAAAAGGUCAAGCUGGACAAGACAUGAGAAAAGGCUUCGGGGAGCUCACAACCCCUGCCGGCCCCAUCUCGCAGCACAGGGUGCCUUCACCCCUGACUCCGCAUGGGCCAAAGCUGAGAUGGUUUCCCUUCACCUCUUCUCAGGCACCCAGAGGGCCUCAGGCUCUCCACAGAUUAUUAAAGGAGAUUGUAAGGUUUGGACAAAGCUGCACAGCCAUUCUUGGGAGAAGAGUGAACCUAAGCCAUGGAGGUGGUGGAGCAGCAUGGAUGGAAAGGUUCCCUCUGGGAAGGAACAAUGUAUGUGGACCUCAUCGCAGGAAUCAUCACAUCAGCAGUAACUUGGUGAGCUGGGCGGCCUUGUUAUUCCCAUUUUACAGAUGGAGAAAACGGAAGAGGUUGAGUCGCUUGUGCAAAGUGUCACUGCCAGGGAGUGGCUGAGCUGGGAUUUGAACCCAUACCUGUCUGCCUGCAGAGUCAGCAUGCUCAAACUGUUAUAGUGGGGGGCAUUGAAGACUCCAGUCUAGAGCAUAGACUGAACUGUAAGAUGAUGACCUAAAACGCAUCAGAUCCUGACUGCACACUCAAAACCUCUAAUUCUGUGACUCUUAUCCAAGUUGUGUCUAUUAAAGAGGAAAAUGAGCUUCUGCCCCUAAUUGAUUCUAAUUCUCCUCCACCCCCCGGGCUCACUGUCAUUUUGGCCACACUUGGAAAGAUGAACACUAACCACUAGACUUUGCUCUCUGAGGAUCCUGCUCUGACUCUCAAGCAGGAGAAGGCACCGGAUGUCUGGUUCCUUCGCCUGUGCUGAGGAAUAAAGGAACCUGAAAAUACACUGCCAUUUCAAAAAGAGCCUGCCUGCCACAAAGGUACUGGAUGAGGUGCUGGUGACGCAGUAAUAAGGAAGGUCAGCGUCUCUGGCCUCACAAACAUACUGGCUAGUGGAGCAGAAGUCAAUGAAAGAGCAAAUAAAGGCAUUUUACACAUUGUGAUAAAUUCUGGGAGUGCAGCAAGUGGAGAUAUUAUGAUACAAUAUGGCCGUCCCAGUACAGAGCAUGGUGAACUGAUCAAUGUCUCGUUUCCAGAAAAUAUAAUUCUCUGAAUGCAGCCUAAAACUGCAUUUGUGUUGUUUCUUUUUUUAUUAGCCACCUUACACUUUUUAAUCUGUAUUGAGCCAAAAUAAAAUUUUUAUUAUACAAAGUAUUUUCAGUAAAUACUUAU